rnacentral:rRNA from 1 species
AUUCCCCUAGUAACGGCGAGUGAAGCGGGAAGAGCACAAAUUUUAAAUCUAUCUGGUUUUACCAGGUCGAGUUGUAAUUUGAAGAAACGUUUUUAAUGUUCCGGGUUGGUUUAAAUCCUUUGGGAUAAGGUAUCAUGGAGGGUGAGAAUCCCGUGUAUAUCAACCGCUGGGAUGUUAUUAAUACGUUCUCUAAGAGUCGAGUUGUUUGGGAAUGCAGCUCUAAAUGGGUGGUAAAUUUCACCUAAUGCUAAAUAUAAGCGAGAGACCGAUAGCGAACAAGUACCGUGAGGGAAAGAUGAAAAGAACUUUGAAAAGAGAGUUAAAUAGUACGUGAAAUUGUUGAAAGGGAAACGAUUGAAGUCAGUCAUGCCGGUGAGAAUCAACUUUGGGGAAGGGGGAUUUUUUUGAA